CACCACCCCCACCUCCAAGAGCACUGUGGAGACUUCCAAGGAGUCUGAGUCAGGCCCCUGCCGGGAACAGUGAGGCAGAAGAUGAGUAUGGAGGGCAGGUGACUGGAGGAUCCAGCUGUGCAGCAAGCCAGGCCAAGUUCUUGACUUCACUGCGGUGCUACCAAUCCUGACAGCUGAGGAAGGCACCUCUAAGUAUGCAGUUGGGGGUUCAACUGCUGCUGUUCCUGCUACUUUGAUUUGAAACAUCUGUUUAACUUGCUCUUUCUUACCUCAUGGUAGAAGAGGUGGUGGAACAACCAAUAUAGGCCAUGUUCACCACAGCUGGUGCUGUGACUGCCGCUGGGCUGUAGCAAUGUGAGAAUGCAGUGCUUACAACUUUUGGGGAGCAAGCAGAAACUCCUGGACCAGAGAAGGAGAAAAGACCCUGGGUGCCAGGAGAUCCUGCAAGCCAGUGCUGCAUCAGAACAAUACCAGGGCCUGGAGAUCACUCAUGCAGACAGCAUGGAGAAGGAUAGAGUGGAGAGGAGAAAGGUGCAGGAAAAGGAGAGGAACAUGCAGCAGGUGAUGCUUGCUUUCCUCAGAUGGCAGACUGGGGGACCUGCAGCUUUAACAAUCCCAUGCUCACCUCCUAGAGUCAAUUGAGAAUUCAGUAUCAGGCCCUCCCUAUACCCCUGUGAUGUAUGGUUGAAACAUGACAUUUAUAUCACUGUGGCAUUGUACAAGAUUUGUUGCAGUUGUCUGUCAUGUAAGAUGUCAAUGGGAAAAGUUAUUUGGCUGAGGGUGAUUAUCCUGUUUAUAUGCAUGUAUUUAUCUGAAAUUAUAAAUAGUGACUAGAUAUUGGCAUCCUACCU